AAUAACAUGUAAAAUGUGUUUCAUAGGACAGGGUCAAAAAAUGUCACGCAUGCGCAGUUGUCAAAGCGCGACUAGCGAAUUCGAGCAUGGCGGAUUUCACGAUAGUUGGCCGGAAUUUGGCUAAUUUUAUGCCGGUAAAAAAGCAAAUUAAAACAUAACGAACUGAUAUUUCCUAUGUGAUUUAACUAAGAAACGCCUUGGAAGGAUUCAAAAGGCAAUCUGCUACCGAAUCGCUGAACAUUUUCCGGAUUUUCUGCUAUCAAUGAGAAGAAUGACAGCAACAUGGCGCGCGAAAACAAGCAUGAAGACAUUGUUUUGUAAAGAAAAUCAUCAAGAUCAGCUUAACUGUUCCUAUGAGAUCACUCUGAAAAUAGUUUAACUUUAUUAUGACUUCAUUACUGACUAGCUACUACGGCUAUGGACUUUUUGCCUCACCUGGUAUCAGAUUUUGAAGUAAACAGCGGGUGAGAUUUCCGGAACCAGCCGAGGUAUGAUUACGGUUUUGGCCUCUCUCCCUAGGACCAAUGCUUUAUGUGGUUGAGAUGGACAUACUGGCUCCCAGGUGAUACCCCAAGAUUUUGGUUUUGGAGGGAUCAUUGCAGAAAUAACCCUAAAUACCUAAAUGGAUGUGUCUCAUACCCUUUAAAGAUGUCAGUAGAAAACAAAGAAAAAAACUAUUAUAUGAACUCUUUACAAUUUACUCAUUUUUUAAAAGCAUCUAUCAACAAACAGGCACACCCAUAUGAUAAUAAACCUGAUAAUUUGACCCAAAAGGCAAAACAAGAACCCAAAAGAUAACACACAUUCCCUGAGUAAUUGUAUUUAUAAUAGUUCAAACAAAAAAACGAUUUGUGGAGACCAAAAUCCUAAAUGGAGUAGCUCCGCCCCUCCCCCCAAGUGAACUGGCAAAUCCCUAUGUCCAGAAGCUUGGUGGCCAUAUGAUAUUUGGGGUCAUUGAGUGUGUAAGUUGCAUGGAAAACUGCCAAAUCAAACUUCUCAUUCACUGGAAAAUUGUAAAUACAUGAAUAAAGAUGCUUAAAAUUCACUUAAAAA